CCGCCCUUUCGGGGCCCGGGAACUGCCGGGCGCUCUGCCGGCCCCGCUGCUCAGCGCCGGAGCCGUGCGCAGCCGCCGCUCCCUCUGGCGGAGCCGCGCGGGCCCUCGCGGCCGCUAUUGGGCGGUGCUGAUUGCGGCCCGUCCUCGUCUCACGCGCAGCCCAGCAGUUACUGCUGCCCGCGCAGCCUGCCCGCGGCCUGCCCAGCCUGAGGGUGCCUGGGCCGAGUGCUUUGAUUUGGGCCCGGCCUCUUGCCUUGACGGCAGAUAAAUGUACACACAAACUGCCAGGGAGAGCCCCGCCGGCAGCAGGGGGUAAAGUCAGUGCAGCUGCGUGGAGUCGUUUGAAAAAGGCUCAGAGCUGUGCCCGAGCAGUUGUAUUCUUGAAGGAAGAACGCGGUGCCCGAGCAGGCUGCACUGGGUGUGCUGUCUGUUCACACCGAUAUUAAUAAAAAAAAAUGUUACGAGACUUGAUUCAGGUUGGAUUGGCAUCUAAAGUAAACGCUGCUGCCUGAGAACUGCAGUAUUGACAGAGCUGUGGAAGUAGGCAAUGAGAAAUACAUUUCUUCCUAGAAAUCUGUUUUUGUAAUGAUCUGAGUGUGGUUCCCUAAGUAAAUAACAACAUGGACUCAUUUUCUAUAGUAUUAUCACAUAUUACGAUAACAUCUAAAUAAUAAAGCACAGACAUUCUAAAAAGCAUCCAAAUAUGGCAGCACUGCUAGUAUGAAGACAGAAGAUAUAGGAGGAAGGAUUUUACAACUCUGACUACCCCAAAAUUGCCCAAAACUCGGUCGAAAGAGCAAGUGCCGCCAUGCAUGAGGUGCAUAGAAAGCAGCUGCUCAGGCAUGCCUAUGCAUAAUCAACACUGCGGCUGUGUGAAGUACAAGGUUUGACCACAAACAGCCAAAGGAUGGGUAUGUACUCCUUCGAUACACUAUUCAGAAUCGUAUCUUUAAUUAAACCAUAUUCCACUUUUCAAAACAGGCAUUUGAGAGAUGCUUUUUUCAUCUUUUCUUGGCCAUCCGCAGGACAGCCCAUUCUGAAAUUAUUCUUCAGAAACAAGCGGUCGCUGAUUGAAGGACAAAUCAACAUCUGAGUACUUAGUUCACAGGAUAUUUAGGUUCGGUACUCUUAGGAAUUACAAGUCAUAUAUAAAUAAAACAUUUCCUAAGUUUACUUUGGUGUUUAUUUUUUUGUUUGUUCAUUCUGUUGCUCUUGUUCUGUGAAAAGGAAAACUAGUCCAAAGCACCUGAACUGUAACUUUGUGACGUUCACUUCCCGUGGAGUUAGGUAGGCACAGUGUAACUGAGUGCCGCGGGCUCACUGUGUGAAACCGGACACAACCCUCCCUCCUCAGGAGAAAAGAGAAGAGGGAGGUAAACCAGGAGGGGAACACAGUGCUUGAAGAAGUUAUUUGACACAAAUAGCUGUUUUUCGGUAAAUAAACGUUUGGCUGGACGAGAAGGCAAUGAAAAAGAAGCAUAAUUUAUGGAGAGCAAAAUUGCGCAGGAAAACUGGUAGAAUAAGAUUUAAAAAGCAAUUAACUGAAGGCAUGAAGACAAACAAGGCAUUUUUUCAACAACCAGCAGCAGAAAGCCUGCAGGAAUCAGUCAGCAUAUAAGAAAAUGGCGUAACAGAGGAAAAGGCACCAAGGAGCUUUUUUCUCAGCACACCACACUGCAGUCUGCUAGUUGUGUAAGGGAAGGGUUAAUAAAGAUUAUUUAAAGUCAGUGACUCAUUAAACAACCUGAAUAGAAGAGAAUUAGGAGUGGCUCCCUAGAAGGAAGGAACUGAACAAUCGUUAGGAAGAACUAAUGAAUAACCAUGUCAGGGCAAGAACAUAGAGAUGAAUGUUAUCAUUUCAGUCUUCGUUCGUCUGCUAACAAACUCAGUCCCACCACAAGAUGAAUAUGGAUGUAGGCAGUGGAAUGGGCUAUCCAGGCUAACCUUGGUGGGUACGUGUGCCUGGGCAUAAUUGAUACACGUAUUGUCAUCCAUGAGAAAUACUGGUUUUAUCUGAUUGCCCUUAUUAUUUCUCCUCCUCUCUCACCCUGCUGUACGUCAUCAAGUUGCUGCUGCCCCAGAACUUCACAGUCCUCACUACUGCUGCAGGAGCAAAGCUCCUGUCCUGUGUGCUUGCUGCUGGGACGGGGAGCGGGCCACAGCUUGUCCUGCAGCAGGGCACUGGCAUGCAUUGUCACUUCAGUGCAUGAAAGGACAUGUGUCUUUUCUAUUAGUAUCUCUGUAUGCAUAUGCAGACAUUUGGAAGUAAACAUCCAGGAACUGCUGAGAUUCCUCUGUUAGUUGAGAUGUUAGCUGCCCUAUUUCCCUUUCCUGUAAUCUGAAGCAAUCAACUAUAGUAGGGUAGAUUGUGUGCAGUGAUAAAAUGGGCCUGUUUUCUCUCACGGUAAAUUUCUUGCAUAUGUACUUAUUCAAAAUUUUGCUUACAGGAGCUUGCAGAAUCUUCAUGUGGUUUAUAUAAAAACAGCAAUACUUCUGCUGGGAUACCUCUCCAGGUUAACUCACCUCCAUCCUUAGCAUCUGGCCAAAUAGACCCUUAGUGUUUUGUGAAAGCUGUCAGUAAAUUGUACGUCCUCUGCCCAUCCGAGACGCUGUUCUGUUCUGGUGUUCAGGAAGUCUGCUCUCCUCACUUGCUUCAUGCAAAUGGACGCUGGAGGUGACUGUACAGGAAGAAGUGGUGUUUUUUUCCCUCCUACUGGCACAUGCUUUUUCAUUUACCUUAUCAGAAUGCGUGUUUAUCCGAAGUACAUUCUUCCUCAUUACAUUUUUCACUCUUAGUCAGAAGCCAUGUUGCGGUAAGCUGUUUUAUUUCAUGCCUCUUCCUUUACCAUCAAGACAAACACUGUUGUCUCUUAGUUAAUUCUUCCCAAACUGCUAAAUGUUCCCAAGCUGUUGUGCACUCGGCAUGUUUUCCACAUGCUGUCUGUGGAACCUUCCCAUGAAGAGGUGCAUCCCAAUGGCCCACACCAGUGCAGUGGCCCACCAAAGGCACCAGUGGUGGAAUGAUUCCUUUUUACUUCGGAAUUCCACUCGGCAUGUUCAUUUUGCAGCUCUGUUACUCCUGUGACAGGAGCAGCAUGAUGGUUUCUCUGUGUUUUGGCGGUGCCCAGCAGCCAUGCUAGCAGUUUGGUACCAGCUGCAGUCCACACGCCUGGAGCGCUGCUGUGGCUCAGACAAAAUCACACGUCAUGUUUUGCAGUACCUGGCCCUUGUUCCUCCUCAGACAAUGCCUAUUUUAUGUAUUUGAAAAAAAUCAGGUUUAGGAAGUCUGUUUUUUUCCUGAAUGAUCUGGAUAACAAUUCGCAGUUUUCGUAGAGAAUGACUGAGGCAGAGAGACAGAGGCUGAGUUUGUCACAGCGGAGGGGCCGGGAGGAGCUUGGUGGCUGCCGAGGCGGGGAUUACACGGCUGCUUGCUGGCAGCCACUUCUGCACUGCACUUUUUUCUCUUUUCCUGGGCCAGCUGACCCGUUAACAUCCCCAUCUAGUCUGUUUUUUUCUUUUUCCCUCUUUUCCAAAGCCAUCUGCCACUUUCCAAAUACUUUCUUUAGGCGACUCAAGUGCAAGUAAAAUAUGCUAGGCCAACAUUCAAAUCCUUUGUGGAUGGGACAUAUCUGAAAACAUGCCACUUGCUAUGGGGAUGGCAGAGGAGGAGAAAAGAUCCCUGCAAGCCUGCUGUGAAGGCCGUGUGAAGAUGGAGCAAUGUGUACCCCAAACACCCAGGGAGAGGAUGUUGCUUCGGCAAAGCAAUCACUAUGCCAGCAGAACAGGAGAACGCGAAACUUGAGGUUGUGCUUAGAGACAAACCUGCCGGGCACAGACAUCCAGCAAACCAUAAUAUCACUGUAGCAAACCUCCGGGGCAAGCCAAUGACUGGCAGCCAGUCCCCUGAGUGUAUGGGAAAGGCGGCCGCGCAGGGAGGGGGCAUGGGACGCUGGCUGGAAGAAUUCCUCCUUUCAGAGAACAAGCAGUGCUUUCACAGCCAUAGUGCACGCUAUGCAGAUUACAUCAGGUCCAUUUGCCUGCUUUAAUUCUUUAAAAAAAAAAAAACAAAAGCACAAAAAUUUUCAGAUCUAAGUUUGAAUUUUCAGGAGUAAAAGCAUAAAUAAUAAAGGCAUUGUGAAGCCGGCAACAGGAGCUGGUGGAGAGCGAUAGUAUUAGUUCUUAGAAAACCUGGAACAGUGGCAUGCUGUUCCCUUGGUAUUAAUGACUACUUGUGUGAGGCACACAAAAAGCCAGUAUUUGAAGUAUAUUCUACAGUGCUUUAUACAGGGGAAUCAGCAGUAGUACAGCUACUAACACAUUGCUAUAGCUAGAUACUACAAGAAAUAUGAUACCUUUGCAAGUGGUGUAAUCAGAAGAGAUUGUAGAAGCUAAAAAUAUAUACUUGGACCAUUUCAGAAGAGCAACUCUAACACUUAAAAAACAUUUCUGUUGACAUUUAUGCAAUUAACACAAGUAUCUAAAGCAUGUGAGUGACAGAUUUCGCUACCUAAACAUGGAGUAAGGAUGCUCAGUUCAGGAACGGCAUCCAAGUCAGACCUUGGUUUUCAGUCUGCUACACUAACUCAAUUCUUCCUGUUACCCAAAGAUGUCAAUGCAGCCUGCCAGAGUGCCAUCCCUUCCACCAAGGGAUGCAGAUGGGUUAGCUGUUGUCUCCCCACGUACUGCCCUUAGAUUCCAGAAUGUCACCCCUGAGACCCUUGCCACAGUAGCUGCUGCUGCUGCAAAAAGCCCAAGUGCUCUACAAGUCAAGCAAAAAAAAAAAAAAAAAAAUUGUUUUGAAACACAGAGUAUAAAGUGGUGGAGCAGUGCACACUCGGAUCUGCAUGCAGACUCCCAUUAGCUCUCAGAAAUCCCCACAUUCUGACUUGAUGGGCAGGACACAAGGGGUGCUUUGUGCCCUGCCCUCGGCCCAGCUCCACGCAGGGGCACAGUGGGCACAGGGCGAGGAGAGGCAGCAGUGUCCCCCCGCUGCCCUGCAGCCCCAUUAGCCUGCUCUGAGCUGCAACGCUCUGAUCAGAGGGCUUCUAAUUGUGUCCUAAUGACGGCCUAAAUGACACUGAUGAUCAUUUCAGAAACAUCUAGAUCACUAAUUGCUAGCAGUCAGUGUGGUGCUUUAAGCACGAGGAGCACUGCAAAAGCAUGAAGUGACAUAAUUAACAUCCACAGUGGCCUUCAGCACCUUCUAGGUUCCAAACUUGAGGCCUUGUGCUCCUUGCCCAGCCUCUUCGUUGUCUGCAAUCUGCUGCCACGGGUGUUCUGCAGCACCCCGGAAUGACAAGAAAGAGCAGCGAUUAAAGAUUGCUGAAUUUUGUUAACCAAAACUCUGCAAAUAUUAAUAAAAUCUGCUAGGAACAAAUAUUAACUAAAAUCCUCAAGACAUCCCCAGUGCAGAACGUUUUACGGUAAAUCCAAGCUUGAUCAAACUGGAUCUCAAACAAACCUCAGUCAGCAGCACCAACAGCAGCCAGGAGCGUGCCUGUCACAGUGGGCAUAAUUUCUGCCCCAGCUCUGUGGGACCCGCGGGUGCCCAAUUUCAGUUCCCAAGGCUGGCAUGUUGGCACCCGCCAGCAGCACGCCGCUCCUCCUGGAAUGUUCGCUGGAAUUCCCUACAAGAUGCCCACAGUCUGUUGAGGAAGCCAUUCUCCAGAAAAAAUAUUUAGAGUGCAAGUCGCAGUUUUCCCCUUCAGAAAUACAGCCAAAACACACUGAAUCUGCUAACCACUGACAACACGGUGCUGGUCAAGAUGUUUAUACAUAAAACAGUGCAUCAGUGAGAGGAAAGUACGCAUCUCGCCCCUGUAAUAGAUAUCUAGUAAUGAGAUGGAAAAGCUGGCUAAGCCCUUUUCUAAAAUACGUGCUUUUAGCUUUUUAUUUGAGCUCAAGAAUAUAGGUUAACUGUAGUGCAGGGGAUUUUAAAUGCAAAACCAUAGCCAUUAGAAUUUUGAAGAGACUUUUACUGUUGCAAGAGCAAAAGGAGGCUUGUUUUCUAAUUGGAAAAUAAAAUGCAUGUAAAUAAAUACUAAUGUUGAUUUUUUUUUUUUGGUGAAGAUUUAUGUGAGAUUAAUCCCUUUACAGUCCAAGAGCGUAUUAGGUUUCUCUAAUCUACCCUCAGUUUAUGUGAGAUUGCAGGCACAGCAGGGAGCGAGGAGCAGGAUCUGCUCAGUGACCAGGCACGCUGCACGGAAAGAAGAUGACACGGGGACAUGUUGCACCCGGAGCCAGAGAGUUAUGACUGCAGUUGCACAAGCACCUGUUUGUGUGAAUGAGUCCUGAAACUGCUUUAAAAGAGACACCUGGUUAUGUGGAUAAAGUGGCUGGUCACAAAACAAGAUUGGCACUGGGAAAGAAUUUUGCAUGUGAUUUUUGAGGUACCCUUUUUUUCAGUCCUUUGACCUGGGAGUUUUGCUUGCCAUGCAAAUGAUGUGUCUGGCCUGGUCAGGCGGUGCUGUCGGCACAUUGUUUGGGUUCCUCUCCCUUCUAUGUAAGGCUGUGCAACCACGUUGACUUUGGAAAUGAGAGUCAUGUACACUGGUAUUCAAGUGCUUGUUGGCUUUUUCUUGUGUUGUUGUAGUUUUUUUUCCCCUUUUUACAACAUGGAUGAUGUUAGAACCCAAACAGAAGACCAAACCAUUCCUGCCUUUUCUGUUUCAGGAAGUGCUCACAGGGCUGCUGGUGUGCUCCUACAGACCCCAGAGCCUGUACAGGACAGCAGAGCUGAGCAGGUGCCAGAUAAGUGCUGGUCUGGCAGGAGGUAACAUUUAAACUUAUAUAUACACCCACAUCUGUUAAUUAAUGAUUUUUCAUUUGGUUUUGUUUUUUUUUUAUUCAGGUCUGAGGUAUUUGUGCCUUAGCUUUUCUGGCAACAGAAGGAAUAUUGAUUUACACAGAUUAUUUUCUCUUCAUUUAUCCCUUUGAGAUGUAUCGCGGUGUUUACCCUGUGAUUUCCUCAACGUUAACAUCAAUCAGAAAAGCAAUUAAAAUGUAUUAAGUAUUUUUGAAGAAUACAAUAAAUGAGGAGAGUUAACCAAUAAAGUUUGUCCCUGGAUGACAGAAAACCCCAAUUCUGAAACUUGUACAAAUUCGUAUCUUAGUUCUGAAAAAAAAAAAAAAAGGUAAAUAUUACGUAGUGCUCAGUAAUGAGAGCAUUUGUAGUUUCCAGAAGAAGCCAGUUUAAUUCUCCCGGUACUCUCUGCAUAUAGAGUGACUUCUGAUCUCCCCUUGCAAAAUACAGCACGGCAGAGUGCCACUGUAAGUUCCCCAGCAGUUCAGGGCUGUGGGUGCCUUUGAUGUGCUCCUCUCCCAGCACAGAGGCGAGUGGCUCUGGUAGCAAUGCAGGCAGGAUAGUGGUCCAGGCCGGGCCAACCUGCUAGCAUGUGGCUGCAGAGCUGCUUGCCCAGCUCGCCGAUUGUACCCCAACUUCUGCUCUAUUAGUAGCCAUCUCACAGCCAAAUCAGAAUGUAAGUUCUGGGAUGGGCAGCGGGUGCUGAAAUAGCUUCAGGACUGGCUGACAGUUGAAGGGAGUCUGUGGUUUUAUUUUUAAACCGGUUAAGCAUAUUUUAAAUUGAAUAAGCAUUGUCAGAACUAAUCAUAUCUCAUACCCAGCGUUCCUCUGAACACUUCAAAUGCAUUUCUCAUGGAGCCUCAUCCCGGCCUGCAGCUGAGUGGUUUUGUUGCCCCUGGGCUGACCAACUCACUGAGGGUCACCCGCUGACCUGCUGGGAAGAAAAAGCUCGUAUCUGCCUGAGUGGUUACCAGGCUAUGGUAACCAGGUAACAGCCUAGCGACUUUGAAAAAAAUAUCAGCAGAGUAACUUUGCACGGAGGUAGAUGAGCAAUGCUCAGACAGCCUCCCCCGUUCCCCAGCCAUACGCCAACAACAUCGUGAGGAGCUGCAGGGGUAUGGCUCACCCACCGCAGCUGUGUGUCCGACCAGAGCUGUCCCAGGGCAGCUCUCCUUCUCCUGUUCCCUUUGUACCAAAACACCAAACCCCACAGCGUGUCUACAGAGCGUUCUCCCCACACGCUGAUUGUUGUUCUUAGACUGUUGUGAACAAGCACCAGAGCUGCACGUGGAGCUGAAACCCAGCACCGGCGUGAUGUGACACGUCCACUGCAGGGAGCAUCCAGCACCAGGCAGCACGAUUCCCCGGGGCCACACUGCCUACGGGAAGGGGACUGCUGCACAGAGCUGGGUGUGCCUAAGAAUGGUGGCAUCAGUGUAAGCGCUGCUCGCUUCAAUUUGUUUCAUUUUACACAGCUGAAAAAUACUUCACAGUUUAAAUAUUUGCUUAGGUCUUACACUAGCAAUCUGAAAGAUAAUUCUUCAAAAAAAAAAAAAGGCCACUUUUUUGUCCUCACCACCUGUGCCUCACUGCUGAACAUAUUACUGUGCAGUAGUAGGAACCCCUAAGUGCUAAUGGCACGCAAUACUCCCGGAACUCUUUACAGGCAAUUCUCAAAUUCUGCAGUAAAACUGCAGAUUAUGAGAGCAAAUGCCUACCUCCAUCCACAGACUAGAAGCUUAUCUAAACUGGCAUCUGUUGUAUACUGCAGCAAUUACAAACACACUUGAUACUAGAUGUGUUUGAAAUCUGAAGGAAGACUUACCUAGUAACAAAAAUGAGAAAAGACAGUCUGGAGCUCAUUAAACGUUUUUUAAAAUAAUGUGUGCAAGAUCUUGUGUACUAAAUAACAAAGCAAUUUUUAAUACCUAUAUCUAGAAAAAAAGUACAGAGUGAAGAGUGAAAUCCUGCCUCCAAUGCGUUCUGUAGGAAUUUCACUAGGUAGUGCAGGGGCACCUGGACUCUACCCACGCUCCUUGAGUGUGCUUUUUGUAUUAGCUUAUGUAACAUGGUUCUUUGGAAAAAUUUAAUUAAGGAGAAGUGUGUAAAGCACUUGGCAUGAAGUGGUCGAAGUUUGUUAACAGACACUGUUUAGAAUGAAAUCUAACUCAGAAGCAAAUAAUGCUCAGCUAUGCGCAUGUCAAUAAGAAUUACUGAAUGGAGAAACAUUUUUACUUUUAACAAAUAUUUUCUAUAAGAUUUUGUUUUUAAGAUCCAAACAUGUAGAGGCUUUAUUCGAAAUGCUGCAAGCUGAAGCAAUCUUAUUGACUUGGCUUUAUCUUAGCUCUCAAUUAUAACAGAGUCAACAAUUCUUCUCUGUAACUUAAUACUGAAUAAGUGUUCUUGCUGACUGCUGAAAUCGAGUGGGAGGAGGAGUCCAGCAACAGUAGAACUCUGUUACUCGUGCUUUUAUUUACAGCAGCAGUUCAUAUACUUGUGGCUUUUAUUGUUAGGCGGGAGAAAUAUAAAAUAUCCAUGAGGCUAACAUUAUUGUGUCUGAAGAUUUUUGGUCUAGAAGUUCUGUGAUUCCUCUCACAGAGAGGGAACAGCUCCGGCUUCUCAAACAAGUCUGCAGACUUUCUGGGGCAGAUAGUUUUAAGGCAUGCGUUUUGGACUGCGCUAACUUAAAAACACGUACAAUUAACAUAGCUUUCUUGUUAUGGCAUUCAAGUUACCAGAUCAGGAUGAUACAUUAAAAAAGCAUGCAGAUAAGGCAUCAUUUGCCCAAACAUGUCAUCAGAAACUGCCUUUCUGAAGAUAUGUCUCAAGCAGAAGAAUGAAAACAGAUAUAUGAUACGUU